GAUGAACGCUGGCGGCGUGCUUAACACAUGCAAGUCGAGCGAGAAGUUUUGAAAAGAUUCUUCGGAUGAAAUUUAAAAUGGAAAGCGGCGGACGGGUGAGUAACGCGUAGGCAACCUGCCCCAUACAAAGGGAUAGCAUUUGGAAACGAAUAUUAAUACCUUAUGAAACUUAACUAGUGCAUGCUAGGUAGGUCAAAGAUUUAUCGGUAUGGGAUGGGCCUGCGUCUGAUUAGCUAGUUGGUGAGGUAACGGCUCACCAAGGCGACGAUCAGUAGCCGACCUGAGAGGGUGAACGGCCACAUUGGAACUGAGACACGGUCCAAACUCCUACGGGAGGCAGCAGUGGGGAAGAUUGCACAAUGGGGGAAACCCUGAUGCAGCAACGCCGCGUGAACGUGGAAGGCCUUUGGGUCGUAAAGUUCUGUUCUAGGUGAUGAAAACUGACAGUAACCUAGGAGAAAGCCCCGGCUAACUCCGUG
rnacentral:rRNA from 1 species